CCUACGGGUGGCAGCAGUGGGGAAUAUUGGACAAUGGGCGAAAGCCUGAUCCAGCCAUGCCGCGUGUGUGAAGAAGGCCUUCGGGUUGUAAAGCACUUUCAGUGGGGAAGAAAGCCUUGGGGCUAAUACCCUCGAGGAAGGACAUCACCCACAGAAGAAGCACCGGCUAACUCCGUGCCAGCAGCCGCGGUAAUACGGAGGGUGCGAGCGUUAAUCGGAAUUACUGGGCGUAAAGCGCGCGUAGGCGGUCUGAUAAGCCGGUUGUGAAAGCCCCGGGCUCAACCUGGGAACGGCAUCCGGAACUGUCAGGCUAGAGUGCAGGCGAGGAAGGUAGAAUUCCCGGUGUAGCGGUGAAAUGCGUAGAGAUCGGGAGGAAUACCAGUGGCGAAGGCGGCCUUCUGGACUGACACUGACGCUGAGGUGCGAAAGCGUGGGUAGCAAACAGGAUUAGAUACCCCUAGUAGUC
rnacentral:rRNA from 1 species